GAUGAACGCUGGCGGCGUGCCUAAUACAUGCAAGUCGAGCGAACAGACGAGGAGCUUGCUCCUCUGACGUUAGCGGCGGACGGGUGAGUAACACGUGGAUAACCUACCUAUAAGACUGGGAUAACUUCGGGAAACCGGAGCUAAUACCGGAUAAUAUAUUGAACCGCAUGGUUCAAUAGUGAAAGACGGUUUUGCUGUCACUUAUAGAUUGUUCCGCGCCGCAUUAGCUAGUUGGUAAGGUAACGGCUUACCAAGGCAACGAUGCGUAGCCGACCUGAGAGGGUGAUCGGCCACACUGGAACUGAGACACGGUCCAGACUCCUACGGGAGGCAGCAGUAGGGAAUAUUCCGCAAUGGGCGAAAGCCUGACGGAGCAACGCCGCGUGAGUGAUGAAGGUCUUCGGAUCGUAAAACUCUGUUAUUAGGGAAGAACAAAUGUGUAAGUAACUAUGCACGUAUUGACGGUACCUAAUCAGAAAGCCACGGCUAACUACGUG
rnacentral:rRNA from 1 species